ACAAGUACGUUGGAAGAGAUGUGCCUAACAAAAUGACAGUUAUUUUUUGUGUCGAUUUGAAGCGCCACACCAAGCGUACCGGGUAUUCAAAUUGACAUUGUAGCAAAUGGUCAUCAUCUUGGCACUAUGUU